UACGGAGGGGGCUAGCGUUGUUCGGAAUUACUGGGCGUAAAGCGCGCGUAGGCGGCUUUGUAAGUUAGAGGUGAAAGCCCGGAGCUCAACUCCGGAAUUGCCUUUAAGACUGCAUCGCUAGAACGUCGGAGAGGUAAGUGGAAUUCCGAGUGUAGAGGUGAAAUUCGUAGAUAUUCGGAAGAACACCAGUGGCGAAGGCGGCUCACUGGACUGGUAUUGACGCUGAGGUGCGAAAGCGUGGGGAGCGAACAGG
rnacentral:rRNA from 1 species